ACUGCUUUGAACAUCGACAUCUUGAACGCAUAUUGCGGCCAUGGGUUAGCCUGUGGCCACGCCUGUCCGAGGGUCGGCUUAUAAACUAUCACGACGCCCAAAAAGUCGUGGCUUGGGUUUUGCCAGCUGGCGUGAUCUCCUCUAUGAGUAAUCAUGUGAGGUGCCAGAUCUAUGGCGUUUCCCUAAUGUAUCCGGAUGCACCCUUGUCUUGGCAGAAAGCCGUGGUGAGGUGCAGUGGCGGAAUCGUGGUUUAAUAAUCGGGUUGGUACUCAGUUGUCAGUGUGUUCGGCGAUCCCCUAGUCGGCACACUCAUGAUUUCUGGGAUAAUUCCAUACCAGGCACGUUCCGUUACUGUUACUUUGUCAUUGGUUUGAUGCUGAACUUGGUCAUGUGUCUGAUGCUAUUUCAUAUAACGACGGUACCCUUCGUGGUCUGUCUUCCUGACCUCGGUUCAGACGUGAU
rnacentral:misc_RNA from 1 species